rnacentral:rRNA from 1 species
AGAGUUUGAUCCUGGCUCAGGACGAACGCUGGCGGCACGCUUAACACAUGCAAGUCGAACGAGAGAAGAGGAGCUUGCUUUUCUGAUCUAGUGGCGGACGGGUGAGUAACACGUGAGCAAUCUGCCUUUCAGAGGGGGAUACCGAUUGGAAACGAUCGUUAAUACCGCAUAACAUAAUUGAACCGCAUGAUUUGAUUAUCAAAGAUUUAUCGCUGAAAGAUGAGCUCGCGUCUGAUUAGCUAGUUGGUAAGGUAACGGCUUACCAAGGCGACGAUCAGUAGCCGGACUGAGAGGUUGAUCGGCCACAUUGGGACUGAGACACGGCCCAGACUCCUACGGGAGGCAGCAGUGGGGAAUAUUGCACAAUGGAGGAAACUCUGAUGCAGCGAUGCCGCGUGAGGGAAGAAGGUUUUAGGAUUGUAAACCUCUGUCUUCAGGGACGAAAAAAGACGGUACCUGAGGAGGAAGCUCCGGCUAACUACGUGCCAGCAGCCGCGGUAAUACGUAGGGAGCGAGCGUUGUCCGGAAUUACUGGGUGUAAAGGGAGCGUAGGCGGGAUCGCAAGUCAGAUGUGAAAACUAUGGGCUUAACCCAUAAACUGCAUUUGAAACUGUGGUUCUUGAGUGAAGUAGAGGUAAGCGGAAUUCCUAGUGUAGCGGUGAAAUGCGUAGAUAUUAGGAGGAACAUCAGUGGCGAAGGCGGCUUACUGGGCUUUAACUGACGCUGAGGCUCGAAAGCGUGGGGAGCAAACAGGAUUAGAUACCCUGGUAGUCCACGCCGUAAACGAUGAUUACUAGGUGUGGGGGGACUGACCCCUUCCGUGCCGCAGCAAACGCAAUAAGUAAUCCACCUGGGGAGUACGACCGCAAGGUUGAAACUCAAAGGAAAUGACGGGGGCCCGCACAAGCAGUGGAGUAUGUGGAUUAAUUCGAAGCAACGCGAAGAACCUUACCAGGUCUUGACAUCGUAUGCAUAGCUCAGAGAUGAGUGAAAUCUCUUCGGAGACAUAUAGACAGGUGGUGCAUGGUUGUCGUCAGCUCGUGUCGUGAGAUGUUGGGUUAAGUCCCGCAACGAGCGCAACCCUUACUGUUAGUUGCUACGCAAGAGCACUCUAGCAGGACUGCCGUUGACAAAACGGAGGAAGGUGGGGAUGGCGUCAAAUCAUCAUGCCCCUUAUGACCUGGGCCUCACACGUACUACAAUGGCUGUCAACAGAGGGAAGCAAAGCCGCGAGGUGGAGCGAACCCCUAAAAGCAGUCUUAGUUCGGAUUGUAGGCUGCAACCCGCCUACAUGAAGUCGGAAUUGCUAGUAAUCGCAGAUCAGCAUGCUGCGGUGAAUACGUUCCCGGGCCCUGUACACACCGCCCGUCACGCCAUGGGAGUCGGUAACACCCGAAGCCUGUAGUCUAACCGCAAGGAGGACGCAGUCGAAGGUGGGAUUGAUGACUGGGGUGAAGUCGUAACAAGGUA